rnacentral:lncRNA from 1 species
GUUAGCAAUUAUUAAAUGGUUUGUUAAAAAAUACAAUAAAAACAGAAUUAAGGUAGGAGAAUUGCUCACCCAGGUGUUUGAGAUCAGCCUGGGAUAACAAAGUGAGACCCUAUCUCUGCAAAAAAAUUUAAUAAUUAGCUGGGUGUGGAUAUGUGUGCUUAUAUUCCCAGCUACUGGGGAGGCUGAGGCAAGAGGAUUGCUUGAGCUCAGGAGCUUGAGGCUGCAGUGAGAUAUGAUCAUACCAUUGCACUCAUUCUAGCCUGGGCAACAAAGCCAGAUUCUUUCUCAGAAAAACAAACAAACAAAAACAAAAAAAAAACCACCCCAGAAAAACAAAACAAAACAAAAAACAACAAAUAAUUUGGGAGCAUUAGCUUGUUUGUAAAAUCACUAUAAAGGACGAUAAAAUGGUAAAAUGGUGAACUUCCAUGUGCUAGAAUUAAAGCCCUCCCAAAAUUGUGGAUAGAUAUUCAUGAAAUGGGGAAAUUCCUACAGAUUCAGAAGCAAAGUAGCUAGUCAAUGAUUCAUGAAUAAUUGUGUUAACAGCCCAUGCGGAUUCCCUGGGAACUCUCUACAUGCGAGUGUCCCAACAGGCUUCCAUCACCAUGAUUAUGUAAAGCAAAAUGAGGAAAUUCCCUGAUUGUUUCCAUAUCAGUUGGGCUUUAAGUCCUCCCUUGGCUGUAUUUCUUCUCCUUCACGGUAUCUUUGAUGAUGAUUUUAACCAAGUGUUACCUGUAUGCAAAUAUUUUGUACAAAUAUUUCCACUGAAGAUACAAAAUAAAAGUUUUUCCAGAUAAAAAGCUUCGUAGGAUUGGCCCAGAAUGGAUAACAUUUUUAUUUUGAGACAGGGGCUCACUCUGUCACCCAGGCUGGAGUGUAGUGGUGAUCACAGCUCACUGAAACCUCUGCCUCCUGGGCUCAAGUGAUCCUCCUACCUCUCAGCUUCCUGAGUAGCUGGGACUACUGUUGCCUGCAACUGUGUGCCUGGAAAUCCCUUUUUUUUUUGGUAGAGACAGAGUUUCACCAUGUUGCCCAAGCUGGACUUGAACACCUGGGAUCAAGCGACCCACCAGCCUCCACCUUCCUGAGUGCCAGGAUUACAGGCAUGAGCCACUGCGCCUGUAAUAACAAUUUAGGGGAUAUGUUAUUUACCUAUUGCAGCAUAAAAAUUACUCCAAAGCAUACUGGCUUAAAACAACAAAUAUUUAUUAUGUCAAAGUAGGUCAAAAAUCUUGGUGUAUUUCAGCAGAGUGUUUGUGGUUCAGAGUUUUUCACAAGGUGUUGCCUGGGCUGCAGUCACCUCAAGGCACAACAGGGGGAAGAUCUGGUUUCACAUUCAUUCAAGUGGCUAUUGACAGGCCUCACGUCCUCAUUAGCUAUUGGCUUGUUCCUUUCCAUGUGGGUCUUUCCACAAGGCAGCUUACAACAUGGCAGCUGGCUUCUCUCAGAGCAAGUCAGCGAAAGAGUGAAAUAGAGCAAGCAAGGUGGAAGCCAAACUGUUCAAAAUCUAAUUUCAGAAGUACCAUCCUGUCACUUUUGCUGUAUUCUAUCCACUAAAAGGAAGUCACUAGAUCCAGUCUACAAUCAGAAGAAAAAAUUACACACAGACAAAAAUUGACAAAUGAAAGCCAUCUUAGAAGUUGUCUACCACAGAAGGGGCAGUUGUUUUCCAGAAUUACCUCAAAGGAAAGCACAACAGUCAGACGUGAAAUGGAAACAGAAAAAUCUUCUGAAGCAGAAUAGUAACGCUGUGAAUUUAAAAGUAAUGGGUCCCAGCAGAAGAAAAAAGCAUCCCUCCUACCUCAUUUCUCCUUUCGGAGGCUAGCAGGAAAUUAAAAAAGGAAAGGAGUUUCAUGCAGUAUUUCUUACAGCAAAUUUCUCAGAAUCCAGAGAUACUUCUUUUCUCUGUAAUAAGUUGCUGCAGAUACAAAGGAACACUUAUGAUUGAUGACUAUCUCUGUUUGCAUGAGCAAUAAUUCCUGAACACACAGUUCUUGAUUAAAAUACAAAUGCAUUUUCAACU